rnacentral:rRNA from 1 species
UACAGAGGGGGCAAGCGUUGUUCGGAAUUACUGGGCGUAAAGGGCGCGUAGGCGGCCUUCUAAGUCGAACGUGAAAUCCCCGGGCUCAACCCGGGAACUGCGUCCGAUACUGGAAGGCUUGAAUCCGGGAGAGGGAUGUGGAAUUCCAGGUGUAGCGGUGAAAUGCGUAGAGAUCAUAAGGAAGACCAGUGGCGAAGGCGGGUCUCUGGACAGUUCCUGACACUGAGGCACGAAGGCCAGGGGAGCAAACGGG